rnacentral:tRNA from 1 species
GUCUGACUAGCACAGUGGGUAAGGAACUGGACUUGUAACCGAAAGGUUGCAGGUUCGAUUCCUGGGUAGGAAA